UGGUGGCUCACUGCUUACAAUUUUAAGCUAGUUUUGAGUUGUUUACCAAAAGAAAGUCAGUUUUAUCUAAGAACAGCACCCUCCUCCAAAUUCACCCACCAAAAUGUAAACUGUGGGCUCUAGGUUCUAACUGCCUGGGCUUCAGUCCUGACCUCCUCCCUACCAACUGCUGUAACUUUGCUCCUAGUUCCAUCUCUAGGUGUAAUAAAAGGUGUAAUGAUGUCAGCCUCCUAAGAAAAUGAGGAUGGUUAAGUGUGCUGUAAAGUGCUCAUCCUUAUGUGUGCCAUCAUAGCCUCACUGUCUGCUAAAACAGACAUUUU
rnacentral:lncRNA from 1 species